rnacentral:miRNA from 1 species
UGGAGGCUGGGAGUGCAUGAGCU